rnacentral:rRNA from 1 species
UACAUAGGGACCGAGCGUUGUCCGGAAUUAUUGGGCGUAAAGAGCGUGUAGGCGGCCAGUCAGGUCCGUUGUGAAAACUCGAGGCUCAACCUCGAGACGCCGAUGGAAACCGACUGGCUAGAGUCCGGAAGAGGAGAGUGGAAUUCCCGGUGUAGCGGUGAAAUGCGCAGAUAUCGGGAAGAACACCCGUGGCGAAGGCGGCUCUCUAGUACGGUACUGACGCUGAGACGCGAAAGCGUGGGGAGCGAACAGG